AUCCAGCUGAUGAGUCCCAAAUGGGAUGAAACGUACGUCAUGGAU
rfam:Schistosoma mansoni strain Puerto Rico chromosome 3, complete genome